rnacentral:rRNA from 1 species
CCUUGUACACACCGCCCGUCACACCAUGGGAGUUGGAUCUACCUUAAGCCGGCACGCCGACCGCAAGGGGGCAGCCGACCACGGUAGGGUCAGCGACUGGGGUG